rnacentral:lncRNA from 1 species
CUAAAGAGUCUCUACCUCUGUGAGUGCCUAAUGAAGGAAUGUGACUUCCCAAGCCUGAAUGACCAGCCUCUAAAGCAGCUGGAAGGGAAGCAGCUGGCAGCAGGAUCCCAUGGAUAUUAAGCGCCCUUCCAAUAACCUUAUAACCCUGCCAAGAAAUCAGUGUCACCAGACACCACCUAAAAAUGGAAGAUUAAUUCAGCCACAAAUUAGGACCUUUACUCCACCUCAGUCCCCCAAAUACAUCCUCAUGUGCACAGGAAGAGGUUCUAGUCCUCUGUAACAUAUCCCAAACAAAGCCAGCUGGACUCAGGCUUCUUUCUUAGGGCAAUAGAAGCAAGAGCUGCUAGAAGAAACAGGCCAGCAUGGAACAUCUGUUGGGACCUUUGUUAUCUCCAGUACUUAAAUAUUUGUUGAAGGAAUUAACUCCUGAGGAAGGAGCUUGGGAAAGAGCCGACAGGGAUUAUUGCACAGGUAAGGAAAAGAAAGGAAGUAUGCAAAGACAGCGUUGGGUGGGUUUUCUUGAUGAGCAUGACAGAAACCAAGUCAAACUUCUAUCAGUUUUCCAGGGGGAGGCCCUGGGAAAAGAGGUCUCUAUGGU